UAGAGUUUGAUCUUGGCUCAGGAUGACCUCUAGCUACAGGCUUAACACAUGCAAGUCGAGGGGCAUCAGUUUGGUUUGCUUGCAAACCAAAGCUGGCGACCGGCGCACGGGUGAGUAACACGUAUCCAACCUGCCUCAUACUCGGGGAUAGCCUUUCAAAAGAAAGAUUAAUAUCCGAUAGCAUAUAUUUCCCGCAUGGGUUUUAUAUUAAAGAAAUUCGGUAUGAGAUGGGGAUGCGUUCCAUUAGUUUGUUGGGGGGGUAACGGCCCACCAAGACUACGAUGGAUAGGGGUUCUGAGAGGAAGGUCCCCCACAUUGGAACUGAGACACGGUCCAAACUCCUACGGGAGGCAGCAGUGAGGAAUAUUGGUCAAUGGACGCGAGUCUGAACCAGCCAAGUAGCGUGAAGGAUGACUGCCCUAUGGGUUGUAAACUUCUUUUAUAUGGGAAUAAAGUGGUCCACGUGUGGACUUUUGUAUGUACCAUAUGAAUAAGGAUCGGCUAACUCCGUGCCAGCAGCCGCGGUAAUACGGAGGAUCCGAGCGUUAUCCGGAUUUAUUGGGUUUAAAGGGAGCGUAGGCGGAUUGUUAAGUCAGUUGUGAAAGUUUGCGGCUCAACCGUAAAAUUGUAGUUGAUACUGGCAGUCUUGAGUGCAGUAGAGGUGGGCGGAAUUCGUGGUGUAGCGGUGAAAUGCUUAGAUAUCACGAAGAACUCCGAUUGCGAAGGCAGCUCACUGGAGUGUAACUGACGCUGAUGCUCGAAAGUGUGGGUAUCAAACAGGAUUAGAUACCCUGGUAGUCCACACAGUAAACG
rnacentral:rRNA from 1 species